rnacentral:misc_RNA from 1 species
UUCCCAGAGUCUGGCCCAUCUUAGGUCUGGCCUUUUUCGGCUCCGCGGACAAUAUUACGGUUUUAUUAGGAGCUAUUAACUAUUGUUAAAAGAAAACUCAGAUUCUCAGUUGAUUCAGUAACUGUCAUAUUUCUUUCACUUAUUGAAACCAGAUGUUACCAGAUGAAUUUUCUGGAUAAUUGCAUCUACCUGGGGAGUAACCAACGUAAAGACAAUAAGCGUGCUCAACUACAAUGUAAGGUAGGCAAAUGGUGCUCUUCAAAGCUAAAGUAGCUCCUCAGGUAUAAUUUUCGGAGCCAUUUCUCCUUAAAAUAAAAGUGAGAAGUGUAUAAGACUCUACUAAAUAGGUAGCUUUUUUUACUGGUACUUUGCGAAAGUCAAAGUUUUCCCACCUUUGCACUGUUUGCCAUUGCGUUAAGCCAAAGAUGAAAUUAGUUUGCCCAUUUAGGAGACAACCUUUCCAUUACCGGCGUCAUUGAGUGACAAAAGUUCCAAAAAUCUUCAUUCUAAACCAGUUAAAUAUUCAUCAAUUACAUGGAUGCUACUGAAAUGAUUGGAUUCCUUGCCGAAAUCAAAAAUUCAAACGUGUGAUCAAAAAAGAUGGAGUCACGGCUGAGUCAGAGUGUACGUUGUGAUGCGUUCACGUCAAAACAUUUCACAACAGGUCGUGAUAAGUUCAAAUAGAUACGCAGUAAGGUACACUUUGAGGAAAGAACUUGAUACAAAAGUAAAAGGUUUUAGAAUUCGUACCGUAUUUAUAAAAUUCAGGAUCACUAUUUUCUUUUUAAAAUUUUUGUUUUGUAAUAUUUAAUGGAUCACUAGUGCGACAAAAAGGGCAUAUUGAACAAGUUUUUCAACAUCAUGUCAUGAAUGUAAUUUUUUAAAUCAUUAAAAUAAAAUAUUAAAAAUGAUGUUGAUACUACUAAUUUUAAUGGCAGUAUUUCGACCAUUGACAUGUUGCUGGGAUGACUUAGAUAGUAAUUAUAAUUACAUCAAAUUCAUAACAGUUGAAGAAGGAGAUUCAUUAAAACUUGCGUGUUAUGAUAGUGGUGAUCCCCAUUUACCUAUUAAAUGGUAUAGAGAACCAACACGAAGGAAUUUCACUUUACCGAACGGUGAAUUACGUUGUGAAUGAGUUUCCAUCCAUCACUAAAAAUCAACGAGGGAGAUAUUUUUGUAACAUUGACAGUAUACCGCUGAGUACUUCCAGGUACAUUAAAGUUAAUGUCAAUUUUAUACCAACCAUAUUAGAAACACGUCGUAUAGAUAAUCUUGGAAGUAAAGAACUCGAGUUGGGUUGUAAUAUAGAAGCUUAUCCACCACCAGAAAUUUUGUGGACAAAGAAUAAUAUAAUUUUGUAUACGAAUAAACAACAUCGAGUAAUGACUAAUUAUGACUGCAAUGAUGUGUAUAAUUCAACUCUUAUAGUAUCAACAGAAUCUAAUUAUUAUGGUAUUUACACGUGUCGAAUUAUGAAUAAAGUCGGACAAUUAGUCAUGACUUUUGUGGUAACAACUCCAACGGUAAAAACAAAUUUGCCAUCUGCUUAUGAUGGUAGCAAAGGACCAUAGGAUUUAAGGAAAAUUAAUUAUUUGUUCUACUUCAAGAUUACUUUAAAAAUAGGUGUCUGUAGAUAUGAUGAUUUAAAUAAUUAGUAUUUGAAAUACAAAUACAAAAGUCUCAUGCAUUGUCCAGGUCAUUGUUUUAUUAUAAAUUGAGAUAAAUUAUAUUUAAAGUUCCAACAGCAUCACUCAAGUAAAGCAAUUUAAAUCUUGUGAAAUUAAUUUUAAUAUAAACUAGAAAAUCAAAAAGUAUUGCUUGAAAAAAAUCAUCAAGGAUCAGUUUCUUAUUUAGGAUAUCAUUAAAAUAUUUUCGAUGACAAAAGAGUUUCUUGAAAAACGUAAGAAGAAAGAGAAAUUCUACUUUUCAUACACACGCAAACAAUAUAACUUCAGAAUCGUGCUCUUAUAUAAAUCAUUCUCACAUCUAUUCAACUUAUUUUUGAGUUCCAAAGCUCACACCAUAAAUAUAAAUAAUACCCAAUUUACUAAUAGCGUUGAGAUUUGUGUUCUUCUCUUCAAGGUAGCAUAUAGGUUUAUAAGAGAACGACAGAAUCGGAAGAGCCAUCAGUAAUUUCUGAGUUGCAGACCAGUGUGUUUAAGCAGAAAUUCAUCGUUUUUAAUCAUGAUGUUGAUACCCUUCGGCCUCAUUGCAAUACUUUUGCCAUCAAUAUCUUGCUUACAUUCUUUAGAAGGUCCCUAUAUUUAUGACAACCAUACCGGUAUUGUGAGUGUUGAAGAAGGGAAGUCACUAAAACUUGAAUGCUAUGCUAAUGGUGAUUUACCCAUUAUCUGGCAAAGAGACCCACUUCAUGCCAGGAACAACAAUCUGUUUUUACCAAAUGGAGAAUUACACUACACUGGAAACAUUUUAGAACUUCCAUCUAUCACCAAAGAUCAACGAGGAGAAUAUGUUUGCACCACUAGGACUUCAACUGGAAGUGCUUCCAAAUUUAUUUCAGUUUACGUUAAUUUUGCUCCGAUUAUAAAGGAAGCGCAUUAUAUAAAUCAUUUUGGAAACAGAAAACUCGAAUUGCGUUGUAAUGCAGAAGCUUAUCCAUUGCCUGAUGUCGUGUGGAUCAAAGACAAUGUAACAUUGUCUACCAAUGAGCAUCAUCGGAUUAUUGCUGGUCCUGUAUUCGUGGAUAAAUUUAAUACUAGCCUUAUAAUAUCAACAGAGUCGGAUUAUAUUGGUACUUAUGAGUGCCAAAUUGACAAUUAUCUUGGAAGUUCAACCAUGACUUUUGAAGUUACAGCUCCAUCUUUAAAAAGUUCAAACUAGAUGAUAUUUAAUUAGAAUCUACGGAAAACUGAAGCUCUUUAAUUCAAGACUAUCUUAAAAUAGAAAUAGAUAUUAAUAUUUCAGCGGUCAUUAUAUUUAAAAAUAAUAUCUUUAUAUCAAAAGAUUUAGAUGUUUUGCGUCGCAUAUCAUGAUAAAAAAAAUAGUUUUGAAAAAACUAAAAUAUAUUUCAUGUAUUGAUCAUCAAUAAAAAAGAAAUGGUAUUUAUUGUGGGUUAUUAAAAACAAAUCACCAUAAAUAAAACUAACUUUAAAUUACUAGACGACUUAUUUCGAAGGUGAAUGUUAACAGAUGUGAAAAUUUGGUCGAAUCACCCAAGUAGUGAACAAAGAGUGUCAUGAUCUGAGUCUUGUGAAAUUAACUUCAAUAUGUAUUGUCAAGUCAAAAAUUAUUAAAUCUUAUUUGUUUAGAAAUUUAUGCAAAUAACUUAAGCUCUUUUUCAAUGGAUUGCCCGGACGUUUUUCUUUUCUUUCCCACUUUGCUGUGUCUAUUCAUUCAAAACUCUUGGAAAAUACAUAUGAUAGAAACUAUUGGUCGUCUACACAUAAAUUAUUUAUUAAUGUAGCAUAUGAGUUUAUAAAAGAACUACGGAAUAGAAAAAGCCAUCAGUAAUUUUUGAAUCACAGACCAGUGAUGUGUUUGAACAAAAAUUCAUUAUUAUCAAACAUGAUGUUGAUAUAUUUUAGCUUCAUUGCAGUGUUUUUACCAUCAAUUUCUUGUUUAAAGGGUCCAUAUAUUUAUGACAAUUCUACCAUUGGUGUGGUAGUUCAAGAAGGAGAUUCACCAAAACUUGAGUGUUAUGCUAAUGAUAAUUUAUCUAUUAAAUGGCAUAGAGAUCCAUCACAUGG